rnacentral:snoRNA from 1 species
AAACUAUGAUGCGGACAAUCUCUCUAAUAUCCUCUAAAUCUGAUCCAAGCGGCUUUAAAUGCUUCAACUGCUUCUUGAGAGAAGGUAGAGAUCUUCAUUCUCAGCUC